CGCGCAUCGUUUUGUCAUUCUCCCACAGCUCCCACCCUUAUCUCUUCAGUUUUGACCACCUCCUCAGCUCCACCCCAUAUCCCUCUCGUCCCUUAGCGUGGUUUUUUGUUCCCAAUCUUUUUUGUACCCUCUCUUUCUGAUGGACUGGCGCUAGCCUUGGAAGAAAAUAUCAUUGGACAAGGCAGUUCUUGAGAAAGCAGCUGCUGGAUUGGACUCUAUUAGUGCUUUCUCCCAGGGCAAUUAGGAUAACUACAAAAAACCAAACUAUGUCCAAAUUUCUAUGGAGUCAUAUACCCAUCUGACUGGUUUGGAGGAUCAAGUGAAGACAUAUGAGGAAAAGUUCACAGUCUAGAGGAUGGAAUCAAGGAGCUGAGUGAUAAGUUGUCACUGCAAAUUCAGAGAUGACAACCAAGGAAAACCUUGUAAAACAACAUGCAAAAGUGGCUGAAGAAGCUGUCUCAGGAUGGGAAAAGGCUGAAGCAGAAGCUUUGUCAUUGAAGAAUCAUCUUGAAUUUGUUACUCUUGCAAAACUCACUUUAAAGGAUCGUGCAUCACAUCUAGAUGGUGCUCUUAAAAGAGUGCAUGCGAUAGACAAGAAACCUGAAGGAAAAGCAUGAUAAGAGCCAUUGAAGCACUUGCGUCUGUGAGUGAGUAAUAGUGUCAUUGCAAAUUUCAAAGCACAUGAAUCAGCCUUUGUAAGCUCAAUUUCAUAGUAACAAGGUGCUGGGAUGAGAAACCAAGUUAUUAGAACUGCUAUUGGUGCUGUUGCAGGCUUGAUUUGUUGUUGCUGAUUCAGUUUCUCUCAUUUCUUGCAAGCUGUGUUCGGUUCUACCUCUCCCCUGUCCAGCCAUCCACUUCGUUUCAUUCCUCUUUGCUUUCCAUUAUGGUGAUCUAAGGGUGUGAGGAAGAAUAGGACCCUGACCAGCAUUAAAGGCAAGACACUUUUGAGAAUUUGAAGCUCUGACAAUUUAUACCCUUGCCGAUCACCCUCUAUUUUCGGGGCUUGACAGCACCUUCAGUGGUAGAAUCACCCAGUCAAAAGCAUUCUGUCCCACCUUUGCACUGACUUCCUGAGUGCACCUUCAAUGAUCGGGUUGUCAUUACUCUAACACCACAUCUCAUAGAUGCUAAGGAGCUAAAAUGUCCAAUACUGCACCCUUAUGAGCACUAAGGAGAUAAUCUCUAACACCGCAUCUCAAUUAGUACUAAGGAGAUAAAAUUCUCCAACACCGUAAA